UACGUAGGCAGCGAGCGUUGUUCGGAUUUACUGGGCGUAAAGCGUGCGCAGGCGGUUUUGCAAGCCGGAUGUGAAAUCCCCGGGCUCAACCUGGGAAUGGCAUUUGGGACUGCAAGGCUCGAGUGCGGCAGAGGAGACUGGAAUUCCUGGUGUAGCAGUGAAAUGCGUAGAUAUCAGGAGGAAUACCGAUGGCGAAGGCAGGUCUCUGGGCUGACACUGACGCUCAUGCACGAAAGCGUGGGGAGCAAACAGG
rnacentral:rRNA from 1 species